rnacentral:tRNA from 1 species
GCCUGGGUGGCUCAGUCGGUUAAGCGUCCGACUUUGGCUCAGGUCAUGAUCUCACGGCUCGUGGGUUCGAGCCCCACGUCGGGCU